rnacentral:rRNA from 1 species
GCAUGAAGUCGGAAGUUGCUAGUAAUCGCAGAUCAGCAUGCUGCGGUGAAUACGUUCCCGGGCCUUGUACACACCGCCCGUCACACCAUGGGAGUCGGUAACACCCGAAGUCAGGAGCCUGACCUUUUUAGGAGGGCACUGCCGAAGGUGGGAUUGAUGACUGGGGUGAAGUCGUAACAAGGUAUC